rnacentral:rRNA from 1 species
GAUGAACGCUGACAGAAUGCUUAACACAUGCAAGUCAUUGGCGAAGCUGCGCUUGCGCAGUCUAGCCAAGGCGGACGGGUGAGUAACGCGUAAGGAACUUGCCCUGCAGACAGGGAUAACAGACGGAAACGACUGAUAACACCUGGUAUUGUCAGGCUGGCGCAUGCCGGCCUGAUGAAAGGAGACGCUGCAGGAGAGCCUUGCGUCCUAUUAGCUAGUUGGUGGGGUAACGGCCCACCAAGGCGAUGAUAGGUAGCCGGCCUGAGAGGGUGAACGGCCACAAGGGGACUGAGAUACGGCCCUUACUCCUACGGGAGGCAGCAGUGGGGAAUAUUGGACAAUGGGGGCAACCCUGAUCCAGCAAUUCUGUGUGCACGAAGAAGGUUUUCGGAUUGUAAAGUGCUUUCAGCAGGGAAGAAGAAAGUGACGGUACCUGCAGAAGAAGCGACGGCUAAAUACGU